rnacentral:rRNA from 1 species
CAAAGGAGCAAUCCGCUGGAAGAUGGGCUCGCGGCCGAUUAGCUAGUUGGUGGGGCAACGGCCCACCAAGGCGACGAUCGGUAGCCGGACUGAGAGGUUGAUCGGCCACAUUGGGACUGAGACACGGCCCAUACUCCUACGGGAGGCAGCAGUGGGGGAUAUUGCACAAUGGAGGAAACUCUGAUGCAGCGACGCCGCGUGAGGGAAGACGGUCUUCGGAUUGUAAACCUCUGUCUUUGGGGAAGAAAAUGACGGUACCCAAAGAGGAAGCUCCGGCUAACUACGUCCCAGCAGCCGCGGUAAUACGUAGGGAGCGAGCGUUGUCCGGAAUUACUGGGUGUAAAGGGAGCGUAGGCGGGCGAGAAAGUUGAAUGUUAAAUCUCCCGGCUUAACUGGUAGCUGCGUUCAAAACUUCUUGUCUUGAGUGAAGUAGAGGCAGGCGGAAUUCCUAGUGUAGCGGUGAAAUGCGUAGAUAUUAGGAGGACCACCAGUGGCGAAGGCGCCCUGCUGGGCUUUAACUGACGCUGAGGCUCGAAAGCGUGGGGAGCAAACAGGAUUAGAUACCCUGGUAGUCCACGCUGUAAACGAUGAUUACUAGGUGUGGGGGGACUGACCCCUUCC